UACGGAGGGAGCUAGCGUUGUUCGGAAUUACUGGGCGUAAAGCGCACGUAGGCGGCUUUGUAAGUUAGAGGUGAAAGCCCGGAGCUCAACUCCGGAAUUGCCUUUAAGACUGCAUCGCUUGAAUCCGGGAGAGGUGAGUGGAAUUCCGAGUGUAGAGGUGAAAUUCGUAGAUAUUCGGAAGAACACCAGUGGCGAAGGCGGCUCACUGGCCCGAUACUGACGCUGAGGCACGAAAGCGUGGGGAGCAAACAGG
rnacentral:rRNA from 1 species